UCCUGAUAAAAAUAUAUUGCAAAUGCCUAAGGUACAAGGCAAGAUAUUAAGGCUUCAGUUAAGACAACAACUUUUGAGAAGAGUGGAGAAUGAAAAUGGAAAUAGAGGAGACACUACUGAGGUUACGAGAGAGAGAGAGAGGAAGUUCAAGAGCUUCCUACUAUGUGCUAAUAUCCUUUGAGCAGCUGUCCUCCAAAUCCUGUCAGGUAAUGGGGUAAAUGACAGCUCCUUCUCCUAAAGAAAAGGAUCACGACCCUUUGGGGCAAAAAUAUACUUUUCAAA
rnacentral:lncRNA from 1 species